rnacentral:rRNA from 1 species
GAUGAACGCUGGCGGUAUGCCUAACACAUGCAAGUCGUACGAGAGUUUUUAACUCUAGUGGCGGACGGGUGAGUAACACGUGAGAAUUUGCCUUUAGGAGGGGGACAACAAUUGGAAACGAAUGCUAAUACCCCAUAUGCUUUUGAGUGAAAUGGAUUUUAUCCGCCUAGAGAGAAGCUCGCGGCUGAUUAGCUUGUUGGUAAGGUAAGAGCUUACCAAGGCGACGAUCAGUAUCUGGUUUGAGAGGACGAUCAGACACACUGGAACUGAGACACGGUCCAGACUCCUACGGGAGGCAGCAGUGGGGAAUUUUCCGCAAUGGGCGAAAGCCUGACGGAGCAAUACCGCGUGAGGGAAGAAUGCCUAUGGGUUGUAAACCUCUUUUUCAGGGAGGAAUAAAAUGACGUGUACCUGAAGAAUAAGCAUCGGCUAACUCCGUG